AAGUGUUACAGCUCUUUUAGAAUUUGUCUAGCAGGCUUUCUCUGGUCUCUACCGGAAAGCCCCC